rnacentral:misc_RNA from 1 species
GAAAUGCGAUAAGUAAUGUGAAUUGCAGACUUCAGUGAAUCAUCUAAUCUUUGAACGCACCUUGCGCUCCUUGGUAUUCCUUGGAGCAUGCCUGUUUGAGUAUCAUGAAAUCUUCAAAGUAAAUCUUUUGUUAACUCAAUUGGUUUCUACUUUGGUAUUGGAGGUCUUUGCAGCUUCACACCUGCUCCUCUUUGUUCAUUAGCUGGAUCUCAGUGUUAUGCUUGGUUCCACUCGGCGUGAUAAGUUAUCUAUCGCUGAGGACACUGUAAAAGGUGGCCAAGGUAAAUGCAGAUGAACCGCUUCUAAUAGUCCAUUGACUUGGACAAUACUUUUAUGAUCUGAUCUCAAAUCAGGUAGGACUACCCGCUGAACUUAAGC